rnacentral:rRNA from 1 species
AUGCUAUCCACGACGGAAUUUAUCCAGGUUGCAGUGACUCUCUCGGCACUUUGGUACUCAAGGAGACAAGCUUUGCAUGAAGAUAUCUUCCAAAGUCCACUUUCUACACACAAUUUCAUCCUUAAAUAUAUCCGGGAACUAGAAGAGUGCAAGCCUAAGAGGGUUCCAACAAUAACAGUGGCAAAUCAGCGACAUGUCCCUCCACAAUGGAUUCCACCGCCAACUGGUUUUGUGAAGAUAAGGGUGGAUAGUGCUGUUGCAAGAAACCACAAUGAAGGCUCUUUCAGUGCGGUCUGCAGGGAUUCGUUGGGACUUUAUUUGGGCUCAUCUGUCAUCAGAAUCCCCGGGGUUACAGACCCAGGGACGCUCGAAGCACUAGCACGACGUGAAGCGCUAGCACUAGCUUCAGACCUAGAUUUAUCACAUGCGAUUAUCACCUCAGAUUGCCAGGGUGUGAUCAUGGACAUCAACAAGCAAAUUGGGGGGAUGUAUGCAAGUAUUGUCAAGGAGAUUGUAGAGACUGCAAGAACCAUCAAUGACUGCACCUUCAUCUUCGAGGGUAGAGCUUCCGACCAUGAGGCACAUAGCCUCGCUAAGCACGCUUUCGGUCUGGAUUUUGGGCGCCAUGUGUGGCUUCUGAACCCACCAGAUCUUCGAUGUAUCCCUACGAAUAUUAUUGAAUAA